ACGGGGUGCAGCAGGCGCGAAAACUCCGCAAUGCGCGAAAGCGUGACGGGGCUAUCCCGAGUGCUAUCCGCUGAGGAUUGCUUUUCUCUGGUUUAAGGAGCCGGAGGAAUAAGGGGAGGGCAAGUCUGGUGUCAGCCGCCGCGGUAAUACCAGCUCUCCGAGUGGUGUGGACGUUUAUUGGGCCUAAAGCAUCCGUAGCUGGCUGAGUUAGUCCCCUGUUAAAUCCACCGAAUUAAUCGUUGGUGUGCGGGGGAUACUGCUUGGCUAGGGGACGGGAGAGGCAGACGGUAUUUCCGGGGUAGGGGUGAAAUCCUAUAAUCUCAGGAGGACCACCAGUGGCGAAGGCGGUCGGCUAGAACGCGCUCGACGGUGAGGGACGAAAGCUGGGGGAGCGAUCCGGAUUAGAUACCCGGGUAGUCCCAGCUGUAAACUAUGCAGGCUAGGUGUUUGGGCGGCUACGCGCCGCUCUAGUGCCGCAGGGAAGCUGUUAAGCCUGCCGCCUGGGGAGUACGGUCGCAAGGCUGAAACUUAAAGGAAUUGGCGGGGGAGCAC
rnacentral:rRNA from 1 species